UAUCCGUAGGUGAACCUGCGGAAGGAUCAUUAAAGUUAUAGUCCCCUGGCCCUCUGGGCUGGGGUCUUCUAUACCACCCUUUGUUUAUUACACCUUUGUUGCUUUGGCAGGCCUGCCCUCGGGCUGCUGGCUCCGGCCGGCGAGCGCCUGCCAGAGGACCUAAACUCUGUUUGUCUAUAAUGUCUGAGUACUAUAUAAUAGUUAAAACUUUCAACAACGGAUCUCUUGGUUCUG
rnacentral:misc_RNA from 1 species